AUUGAACGCUGGCGGCCGGCCUAACACAUGCAAGUCGAACGAGGGGCAGACGGGUGAGUAAUGUCGGGGAAACUGCCUGAUGGAGGGGGAUAACUACUGGAAACGGUAGCUAAUACCGCAUACCAUACGAUGUGCCCAGAGGGGAGUAGCUAGUUGGUGGGGUAACGGGGCACCAAGGCGACGGUCCCUAGCUGGUCUGAGAGGAUGAACAGCAACACUGGAACUGGGACACGGUCCAGACUCCUAAGUGAGGAAGCAGUGGGGCAUAGUGCACAAUGGGAGCAGGCCUGAUGAAGCCAUGCCGCGUGUAUGAAGAAGGCCUUCGGGUGGUAAAGUACUUGCAGCGGGGAGGCGUUACCCGCAGAAGAAGCACCGGCUAACUCCGUGCCAGCAGCCGCGGUAAUUC
rnacentral:rRNA from 1 species